GACGAACGCUGGCGGCGUGCUUAACACAUGCAAGUCGAACGGAAAGGCCCUGCUUUUGUGGGGUGCUCGAGUGGCGAACGGGUGAGUAACACGUGAGUAACCUGCCCUUGACUUUGGGAUAACUUCAGGAAACUGGGGCUAAUACCGGAUAGGAGCUCCUGCUGCAUGGUGGGGGUUGGAAAGUUUCGGCGGUUGGGGAUGGACUCGCGGCUCAUCAGCUUGUUGGUGGGGUAGUGGCUUACCAAGGCUUUGACGGGUAGCCGGCCUGAGAGGGUGACCGGCCACAUUAGGACUGAGAUACGGCCCAGACUCCUACGGGAGGCAGCAGUGAGGAAUAUUGCACAAUGGGCGGAAGCCUGAUGCAGCAACGCCGCGUGCGAGAUGACGGCCUUCGGGUUGUAAACCGCUUUCGCCUGUGACGAAGCGUGAGUGACGGUAAUGGGUAAAGAAGCACCGACUAACUACGUG
rnacentral:rRNA from 1 species